rnacentral:lncRNA from 10 species
CUAUUGCGUUUGACAGCUAUGACCUAUUCUUCCAGACAGAACCUACACUGGAACUCCCACCAGCAGAAGGAAAUUGGUGCGGUGGAAACGGGGAGCAGGGUUCGAAAGCACAGGCAAAAGGCGCUCACAGGAAGCAAGAUCCACGCUGGCCACACAAACUGUAUCUUUCCCUUUGGAACGCUGGUACAUCUCAUCCAUGUCAAGUGACUCCCCAAUGAGGAAACAGGAACACAGAGGUGAAGUGACUUACUGAAUGCCUAAGAGAACUUAUGGAGAAAUAAAAAUAAUAGUUGCUUUCAAAAAGAGAAUCUACAGUAUUAGAAAGAAGACUAGGAAAAGAAACCAGCAACACUCAAUGAUUUUAUGAAGCCAAAUGUCUUCAAAUAAUUUUCUUCUAGUCUAUAAUGUAAGAAUGUUAAAACCGUGUCCCUCAAAGUUGCAAUAUACAUUGCAUGUGUAAAUUGUAUGUAUAAUUACAACAUAAUGGAAAUGAAUAUACUACACAUUUCUCUCACUUUCAAAUGUUGGUUUUGCACCAACUAUUUUUGGUUUCCAAAUAGAGUGAAAUUUACAUCCAGAAUUUCAUUGUAUCAUUAAUUAUAUCAACAGCUUAAGGAAAAAUAAUUAUAUUAACCAAUAAAUCCAGUUGUUAACUACAUGAAAUACAUAAUCUUGCUUAGGUGAAUGUUUUCCAGAAAUUAAACUAGGGAAAAAGUCUCUAACCUUUAUAAGAUUGUAUACCUAAUGUUGCUGGCUGUUUAACCUGAGAACUAAGGGGCCACAAGAGUUUAUCUGCCAGAUGAUAAGCCUUCUGAGGUCAAGUGAGCCUGCGCAUAUCCACUUCUACCCUCUGUAGUCAUUGCAUAACUUUAUUGAAUGAAUUUGGCUGCUAUAAGGUUGAUAAUCUCAUGUGUCCUAUGUUAUCUUUAUUAAAAUCUUUGAUUCUUUUUUAAGCAGCAGUCCACUUUUUAACUUCACUUAAUCCCUAAAUUAUUAUAUUACUUUCAAAGUGGAAAAUUCACUAUCUGAUAGAAUAGUAUCAAUAAACAUCUUCAAAACCAGGUUGUAAUUUCUCAAGCUAUUUGUGAUCACUUCAUCUUCUAGAUUUGACUUUCAGUAAAUCUUUAAUGUCUGUUUCACUUCUUGUCAUUACUUUUUAUGAUUAAAAAUUUGAGGUAGAUGUUUUAAAAUGUUAAUGUUACCACUAAAUGAAUUAUUCAAUCAAGAGAUAAAGAAUUAUUUUCCUAAUUAAUUUCCUGCAACUUUGACAUUAUACUAUCUUAAAUAUUUUCAGAUAAAAUUACUUUUAAUGCUAGUUAUCAAAUAUUCUCCAGAAUGGGUAUUCAUUAUCUGUGUCACUUUGGUGGUUGUUAAAACCACUCUGAUAUUUCCUUUACUUACUAUGUAAAAUGAGGGGAAAACACAACAUCUAUGUUAUAAUGUUGAUAGGGUUAACUGAGAUAAUAUAUGUGAAGUAUUUUGUACAAUUCUUGGAUUAUGUGACCACUCAAUAACUAGACAUUAUUCUUCUUCCCCACUUGAAAAAAAUACCUGCCAUUAAUUUGUGCUCUAUUAGUUACAUCCUAGAGGUAUUUAAGGUAAUAAGCCCUCUCCUCUAAACUCAAUAACAAUUCAAAAGUAAAACCUCUUGCCCUCCCCAUAUUUGUAAUAUGGUUCUUUCAUGUCGUAUAGCAGUUAUGCACCUAUCAAACUAUUUUUUUGAGUAAUGGAACAAAUGAGCAUCAUCUCAACUCAACGUAGGUACAGGAGAUUUUAAGUUGCUCAAGGUCAUGAGCUAAAAGUCAUUUUUAAAGGUAAAAGAGUCACUCUUCUCUGAACAUAAUGAGCACUUAGAGCAGGAUCUGGAAACUAAUUAUCAUCAGCUUUUUAAGAUGCAAAAUGUAGACUCUCUCCUAAUAAUUAAGCCUUAUAAUUGAUAAUUAUCUUUGAUUAAUGAGUAGGAAGUUUUUCCAGAGGCUUUCGCUGCUGUGUACCAUUGUCAUAAUUGAUCUUUAAUUGUUCCAUGUAAGAAUCCCUUUUAUCAUGUUUAAUCUCUGCUAUUUAUAAAUAAGGACCAUGUACCACCCUUAUUAACUCUCCCUAGAUGUAAUAUUACUUUACAAUUGUCUUUCCAAUUUAAUUAAUAUUCGGCUUAAUUCUUUACAUUUGCAUAUGAAAAGGUACAAGCAGUUCAUGCUAUCAAGCAGAAAGGAGAAACCCUUUGCUCUGACCACUUUUGAAUUCUCUUCUUGAUCCAAAUUUUGAGAGAAGAGAGAACAAUACUCUCUCUGGAUAUGCCAGAGGAGACUGUACAUCAUUGCCAUCUUUCUGCUUCUGGAUAAUGUAUUUAGGCCCUUCUUAUCUUAGGAAAAUAUGUAUCAUUUCAUCUGGGCUCUGUUUCCUAUAUAGCAUCCUAGUUUUUCCUCACUUUCCUUUUCCUGCCAAUAUUUCCAAAUGAUCUAGCUACUUUCCUGAUCUCUGUAUAUCAGAUUAGUCCGAAACCACACGGCCAACUUUUUUCAUAUAUCUGCUGAGUCUGACAUUGCUAAACACUCUCGUAAAAUUUCUGUCCCCUUCAGCUUUCCUGAAAAUUCACCGUCCUCAGUCUUCUCCUAGCUCUCCAACAUUUCUUUGUCUAUUCUUUUGCCUAUUUUCUACCUUUCCCCUGCCUCCAAAUUUCCCAAGACUUAUGCCCUAGGCCUUGCUUUUCUAGUUAUUCUUCCUAGGAAGGUGUCCUGGGUUAAAUAGUUUCCCCUCAAAAUUCAUGUCCACCCAUGCAUUUUGAAUAUCAGAAUGUUACUUUAUUUGGAGCUGGGAUCUUUGCAGGUGUUAUUAAUUAAGGAUCUUAAGAUGAAAUCAUCCAAGAUUUAAAUCCAAUGACUGGUGUCCUUAUAAGAGGAGACGCAGACAGAGAAGGAGGAGAUAUGAGAUGGAGGCAAAGAUUAGAGUGAUUCAGCUGCAACCCAAAAAAAUGCCAAGGAUUGCUGUCAACCACCUGACGUUAAGAGAGGAAUGAGCCUGAUGUGGUAUUUGGUUUUCUUUCCUUUGUUAGUUUGCUGAGGAUAACUAGGUGAUGGGUUGAUAGGUGCAGUAAACCACCAUGGCACACGUUUGCCUGUGUAACAAAUCUGCACAUCAUGCACAUGUAAUCCCAGAACUUAAAAUAAAAUUUUUAAAAAAGAGGAAUGAGAUGGCUCUUCCCUCGGAGCCUCCAGGAGGAACCAACCCUGCUGACAUUUUGAUUUCAGACCUAUGGAUAUUUCUGGAAACUUGAAAGAAUACAAUUCUGUAUUAAGCCCCCAAGUUUGUGGGUUUGGCAGCCCUAGAAAAUGAAUACUGAAGGCUUACGCCUUCACCUCUAGCAUCUGUGCUAAAUAUCCAGAGACGUUUCUCUCUAGGUCUGGCCUCUUAUCUACCCCAUCUGCUUUUUAAUUUGGGUAUUCUACCAUCAUCUCAAACUCUAUUUUUAACAAAGGGAUGUUAUUAUCUUCUCCCCAGUUCACACUCUCCCUUAUCCAUUGUUAAACUUAUUGACAAACACAAGAGCCUGAGGUCUGUUCUUUUUGUUAAUAAAAUCAUCCGUGCUAAACCAGAAUGUUCAUAUUCUUUCUCCUUUAUUACCUCUACGUAAUAUAAAUUACAUGACUUAUCAAGUCAUCCACUUUUCUCUCAUAUUCAUCUUCUUCAUUCCAACGUCCCCAAGCUUUCUCUUUAAAUUACCAGUGGAUUGCACUAGCCCCAGAGUGGGGUCAUCACCUACACUGUCUUUCUGGUCUAAAUCAUUCUCCAUCCUAGGCCCAUGUCAGUCCAUUUGCAUCAGGCUUUUAUAUUAAU